UACAGAGGGGGCAAGCGUUGUCCGGAUUUACUGGGCGUAAAGAGCGCGCAGGCGGUCGUUCAAGUCGCGUGUGAAAGCCCCCGGCUCAACUGGGGAGGGUCACGCGAUACUGAUCGACUCGAAGGCAGGAGAGGGAAGUGGAAUUCCCGGUGUAGUGGUGAAAUGCGUAGAUAUCGGGAGGAACACCAGUGGCGAAGGCGACUUCCUGGCCUGUUCUUGACGCUGAGGCGCGAAAGCUAGGGGAGCAAACGGGG
rnacentral:rRNA from 1 species